rnacentral:rRNA from 1 species
UACGGGGGGGGCAAGCGUUGUUCGGAAUUACUGGGCGUAAAGGGUUCGUAGGUGGCUUGCUAAGUCAGACGUGAAAUCCCUCAGCUUAACUGGGGAACUGCGUCUGAGACUGGUGAGCUUGAGUGCAGGAGAGGAACGCGGAAUUCCAGGUGUAGCGGUGAAAUGCGUAGAUAUCUGGAGGAACACCGGUGGCGAAAGCGGCGUUCUGGACUGCUACUGACACUGAGGAACGAAAGCCAGGGGAGCAAACGGG